CGGUAAUUCCAGCUCCAAUAGCGUAUACUAAUGUUGUUGCAGUUAAAAAGCUCGUAGUCGGAUUUCAGUUAGUUGUGUAUUGUCCUAUUUCGAGAAUGCACAAUCGACUUCUUUGAUGCAAAACUUCAUCUGAUUAAUUUCCGGUGUAUGCCUAGCAUCUCUUUUACUUUGAGAAAAUUAGAGUGUUCAGAGCAGGUUCUUGCCUGAAUAUUACUCUUGGAAUAAUAUUAUAGGACUUUGGUCUAAUUAUGUUGGUGUUGUUGGACCGGAGUAAUGAUUGAUAGGGACGGUUGGGGUGAUUCAUAUUGCAAAGCGAGAGGUGGAAUUCUUGGACCUUUGUAGGAUGAACAACUGCGAAAGCAUUUCACUAGGACGUUCCCGUUGAUCAAGAACGAAAGUUGGGUCAUCGAAGACGAUCAGAUACCGUCGUAGUCUCAACCACAAACUAUGCCAGCUAGGGAUGGGAAGUCGUUUAUUUAUGACACUUUCCGCACCUUAUGAGAAAUCAAAGCAUUUGGGUUCCGGGGGGAGUAUGGUCGCAAGGCUGAAACUUAAAGGAAUUGACGGGAGGGCACCACCAGAAGUGGAGCCUGUGGCUUAAUUUGACUCAACACGGGAAAACUUACCAGGUCCGGACAUAGUAAGGAUUGACAGAUUGAAAGCUCUUUCUUGAUUCUAUGGGUGGUGGUGCAUGGCCGUUCUUAGUUGGUGGAGUGAUUUGUCUGGUUAAUUCCGUUAACGAACGAGACCUCAGCCUGCUAAAUAGUGUCGUUUUCUUUUGAGGACUGCAUCUUCUUAGAGGGACUACUUCGAAUAUAAACGAGAGGAAGCUUGAGGCAAUAACAGGUCUGUGAUGCCCUUAGAUGUUCUGGGCUGCACACGGGCUACACUGGUGCAUUCAACAAGCUCUACGAAGAUUGAUCGAAGGAUCCGUCUAACCUUUGAAUUUGCACCGUGCUUGGGAUAGACUUUUGCAAUUUUAGUCUUCAACGAGGAAUUCCUAGUAAACGCAAGUCAUCAGCUUGCAUUGAUUACGUCCCUGCCCUUUGUACACACCGCCCGUCGCUCCUACCGAUUGAAUGAUUCGGUAAGCAUUCAGGAUCGGGUUCCAUUUUCCCUUACCGGACAAUGAUCCCCGAGAAUUUAUUCAAACCUAAUCAUUUAGAGGAAGGAGAAGUCGUAACAAGGUAACC
rnacentral:rRNA from 1 species